UACGUAGGGCGCAAGCGUUGUCCGGAAUUAUUGGGCGUAAAGAGCUCGUAGGCGGUUUGUCGCGUCUGCUGUGAAAACCUAAGGCUCAACCUUGGGCUUGCAGUGGGUACGGGCAGACUAGAGUGCGGUAGGGGUGACUGGAAUUCCUGGUGUAGCGGUGGAAUGCGCAGAUAUCAGGAGGGAACACCGAUGGCGAAAGGCAGGUCACUG
rnacentral:rRNA from 1 species